GAGGCAUUAGCUCAGUGGAUAGAGCACCAGACUUCGGAUCUGGGUGUCAGGAGUUCGAAUCUUCUAUGCCUCGCCA
rnacentral:tRNA from 1 species